rnacentral:SRP_RNA from 1 species
GCCAGGUGUGGUGAUGCAUGCCUGUAAUUCCUGAUACAGGGGAGGCUAAGACUGGUGAAUUGUUGGAAUUCGAGAGCUCUGAGUUUUCUGUGGGGCUCAAGCUGAUCACGUGACAUUGCUCAAUCUGGCACUAAUGUGGUUAGCCUCUGGGGACAUGGAGCCACAUGGGAACCCCUGGGAACAUGGAGAAAGGAUGAAUUGUCUCAGGUCAUAUGAAGCAGGUCAAAGCUUCCAUGAUUAUUAGCAAUGAGAUUGAGCCCAUUUGUGAGUGACUGCUGAACUUUCAACUCGAGUGAGAUAACAAUAACUAAUGUUUA